UUGAGGCGUGGCUUCCGGAGCUAACGCGUUAAAUCGACCGCCUGGGGAGUACGGCCGCAAGGUUAAAACUCAAAUGAAUUGACGGGGGCCCGCACAAGCGGUGGAGCAUGUGGUUUAAUUCGAUGCAACGCGAAGAACCUUACCUGGUCUUGACAUCCACAGAACUUUCCAGAGAUGGAUUGGUGCCUUCGGGAACUGUGAGACAGGUGCUGCAUGGCUGUCGUCAGCUCGUGUUGUGAAAUGUUGGGUUAAGUCCCGCAACGAGCGCAACCCUUAUCCUUUGUUGCCAGCGGUUCGGCCGGGAACUCAAAGGAGACUGCCAGUGAUAAACUGGAGGAAGGUGGGGAUGACGUCAAGUCAUCAUGGCCCUUACGACCAGGGCUACACACGUGCUACAAUGGCAUAUACAAAGAGAAGCGACCUCGCGAGAGCAAGCGGACCUCAUAAAGUAUGUCGUAGUCCGGAUUGGAGUCUGCAACUCGACUCCAUGAAGUCGGAAUCGCUAGUAAUCGUAGAUCAGAAUGCUACGGUGAAUACGUUCCCGGGCCUUGUACACACCGCCCGUCACACCAUGGGAGUGGGUUGCAAAAGAAGUAGGUAGCUUAACCUUCGGGAGGGCGCUUACCACUUUGUGAUUCAUGACUGGGGUGAAGUCGUAACAAGGUAACCGUAGGGGAACCUGCGGUUG
rnacentral:rRNA from 1 species